ACGUGGAAUUAGUAGCAAAUAAAAAUUGUAUCCGAAUAUAGCGAUAUGUUUCGUGAUAUUAAGAACAAAUUUGUUAAAUGUUCGACGAUUAUUCGUGACAAGAAAACCCCCAGAGCAUUCUUACGGGAUAAAAAUCCUCGCAACGCUAAUCUACUACAUGAAAUUUAUUGGACUCCGUCGGAAUCUUACUUUCUGUGGAAAAUCGAAUUGUGUUCUCUGCUGUAAAUAACAUCGAAGUGCAUCCAUUCUACACCAUUAGCAUCACUGAUUACAAAUAGGCAACGCAAAUGUCAAGCACUAGUUUGGAAAAAUGAUGCUGACUGUGUGACAUAAACCCUGAAGCAUGCUUUUGUGAACUACUCGAAUCAAUCUGAAUCAAUUGUUGUCAA